GGUCCAUACUUUGCUGUUUUUAAAUCCUCAAUUUUAAUUGUUAUCAUAUCAGGUGUGCGGCGUCAUUGGGAAAGGAUUUUGGACCUGCGUGGAUAUGGCUACUGGCAAAUAUCUCUGGAGGCAUUUGGUUUCUUCUGCCACCCAUUGAUCUAAGGAUUACCAUGUUGUAAUGUAAUCUGUAUAGUAUAAGGGGUUCAUCUUCUGCUUCAAUUCAUGUUUUUACCACGUUGUAAUUUGCUUCAGAGCUGUAAUCCGCGGUUGUGGGAAUAAGAAUGCAACUCUUUUACUAUCAAUCUUGAUUUUAAUGUUUAGACAGGGGUGGAGCUAGAGAUGGUUACUAACGGAUUCGAUUGAACCCAAUAGUUUUAGUCCAAAUUCGGUAUUUGUAUUAAAAAUUUCAUUAUAUAUACAAAAAUUAAAUUCAAAAUCUAGGUAUCGAUAAUGUUCGGCUCCAACACGGUGUUUAGAUUCAAUUCCCUAAGGGGUCGUUUGAUACCUGGUUUGGAGCUAAGUUAUUCAUGUGUUAAAUCCUGCAUAACUAAUAUGUUAGUAAUACCAUGUUUAGUAUUAAAUCCCGCACAGGUCCAACACCAUAGACAUGCAAUUUUUGUGUAAUGACAUGAAUGACCUAUCUGGUGCAUCCAUUCAAGUCUUUUCCAAUUUGUUUUAUCUCAAUAUUAUUUCCUCCUUAGAAGUCUAACAUAAUAUAUCAAAGAGAUAGUAAAAUUAAUCUUACCCCACCAUCAACUUCAGAGGAAAAUAAUCGUACCCCACCAUCAGUGUAAUUUACAAGUGAUACAAAUUACUUGUCGUUUUUUAUUGGAUAUCAUCAAUGUUUACUAAAUAUCCGUCGUCACAUAAAACUUAAGGUUUUCUGCUUUUGGAUGACAGGUAAAUUAGUAUACAACUUUGGGUUUCCAUAGGAACUAAAACUUCAGGCAGUAAAAGCAUAACUGAACAAUGUCAGGGGUAUCUUUAGCUGCGGGUCCAGAUGAGACAACUUCUUCAACAAAAUCUCAGCAAAAGGAACGAAAUCAACAACAACAACAACAAGGUGUGGUUAGAGCACUUGUUCCCCUGCUUUAUACAGUUCGGAGGAUAUUUGUCUUGAUGGAUUGGAUACAAGAUGUGUGGAUCAACACUACUUUGCCUGCAAAUGCACAAAUCAAGAUACGUCAUGUAUAACGCCUUGCUCAUUUUUUUUUUAAAUUUAGAGGUGUCAA